rnacentral:pre_miRNA from 1 species
AAACCCAGAAAAGUGACGGACAGGGUCCUUUAGUCCGUCGCUUUCUGGGUUUUA